GCACAUCAAUGGCAUGCCCUCAUACAACAGGUGUUGCCGCCUAUGUCAAAUCAUUUAAUCCAUCUUGGUCUCCAGCAGCCAUAAAGUCUGCUCUCAUCACCACUGCCUAUGUGAUGAGCUCAACAAAGAAUGCUGAGGCAGAACUUGCUUAUGGGGCCGGUCACAUAAACCCACUCGCAGCUUUGAGUCCUGGUCUUAUAUAUGAUGCUCAAGAGAUAGACUACAUCAAAAUGCUAUGUGGUGAAGGCUACUUCACUACAAUUCUAAGACUUGUCACUGGAGAUCAGAGCAGUUGUGCCUCUACAAAUAAUGGAACGGUUUUAGAUCUCAAUUAUCCUACAUUUGCUCUGCAAACUCAACAUGGAAAGUCUUUUUCAACUUCUUUCCGAAGAAUAGUCACUAAUGUGGGAGUGCCAAAUUCCACUUACUACGCUAUUAUUAAUGCUCCUUCUAGCCUCAAGAUCAACGUUGAGCCGAAAGUUUUAUCUUUUGAAGCUCUUAUGGAGAAGAAAUCAUUUUCAGUCAAACUUGAAGGAGUUGCUUACGAGACCAUUAUCUCGGGUGCUUUGAUUUGGAGUGAUGGUACUCAUAAUGCUCUGGUGUCGGAAGAGGACAAUUAUUUGCUCACUAAAACUUCCUCUGUUGAGGAGAUUUGGGAUAAUUUAAAUAGUAUGAAUUCUGACUCUGUUGCUGGUCCCGACGGAUUUACUAGUAAGUUCUUCCAAAAAUCUUGGGAAAUUAUUAAGGAUGAUCUUAUUAGUGUUGUUGUUGAUUUCUUUAAUGGUUCUCAGUAUCCUAAAUUUUUCACUACAACUUCUAUUGCUCUUAUUCCUAAUGUUCACAAUAUUAAUUUUUGGAAUGAUUAUAGGCCUAUUAGUUUGUGUUCCUUUCUCAAUAAACUGAUUUCUAAAAUUUUAAUGGGGAUACUUGCUCUUAUUCUUCCCAAAAUUAUUUCUCUGGAGCAGUUUGGCUUUGUUAAAGGUAGAUCUAUAUUUGAUAAUGUUUUACUUGAGCGGAAUUAAUUCAUGAUUUGGAUAAGAAGGUUAUCGGUGGGAAUAUUGUUUUUAAAAUGGACAUAACUAAAGCUUAUGAUAACCUUAAUUAGGAAUUUCUUUAUGUCAUUUUAAAGUUAUUUGGGUUUAAUUCUCAAUUUAUUACUUUGAUAAAAAAUAGCAUUGAAUUUUGUAACUUUUUUUUUAUUAUUAAUGGUAAACUUCAUGAUUUUUUUCGUUCUUCUCAUGGGCGUAGACAAGGUGAUCCCUUAUCUCCUGCUCUUUUCAUUAUUGCUAUAGAAUUUUUAUCUCGUGGCCUCAACCAAUUUUUCAGAAUGCAUCCUAAAUUGUAUUAUCGGACAGGUGGUUUUUUGCCCCUGACCCAUUUGAGCUUUGCAUAUGAUUUCAUUAUAUUUACCAAUGGGUCUAUUAAAACGGUUCAAAUGCUUUUCAGUUUUCUUGAAAAUUUUCAGAACACUACUGGUUUAACGUUUAACAAAUCUAAAAGUUUGUUUAUUAUGGCUAAAUCUUUUGCUGCUUCUCGCAUCCAUAGCAUUGAAAGGAACACUAGUUUAAUUAAAGAGUCCCUUCCUAUGAAAUAUUUGGGUACUCCUCCAUUUAAAGGUAGGAAAAAGCCAUUCCUUUUUUAUGACAUUUUCUCCACCAUUCAGAAGAAACUUACUGCGUGGGCUUUCAAUUACUUAUCUUAUGGUGGUAGACUUGUUCUCAUUAAACAUGUUCUUUGUUCUAUUCCUGUUUAUUUGCUCCACACUUUGGCCCCUACUGUUAAUGUUUCGAGAAGGUUAGAGGCUCUUUUCAACAAAUUUCUUUGGGGUUCAAAGGAAGGAUCUAAUGCUAUUAUUUGGGGCUUUUGGAAAAAUUGUUCUGGGACUUUGGAAGAAGGAAAACUUCGGUUUAGAACCAUAAAAGACAUGGCUAAAACUUUUAAUCUUAAAUUAUGGUAUAAUUUUAGAGCCAACAAGAGUCUUUGGGCCAAGUUUAUGGUUACUAAAUAUUGUGGCAUCAAGCAUCCUUUAAUUUUCUCUUUUCGAAUUGGUGAUUCCAAAAACUGGAAAGACUUUGCAAUGUCAAAUGGGAAGCUGAGGAGUUAAUUCGAUGGGGCUUAGGUGUUGGCAAUAUUCAUUUUUUGUCAAGAUAAAUGAUUAGGUAAUUUUUCUAUUGAUAAUCUUUUAUAUACGCGUUCUAUUUCCCAUUGUAAAGUUAAGGAUUUUUUUUCCAAUUGGAGAUGGAACCUUGAUUUACUUUCCACUACGGUGCCAGAUUUUAUUAUCAAUUUAAUUUGGAAGAUUACUAUUCAUGUUGAGAUGGAUGAUUGUAUUUUGUUUAAUUGUUCCAAAGAUGGUAAAUUCAGCUCUAAACAAGUUUGGAAAUUAAUUAAACAUGCUCAUCCAACUAAUUUUAUUAAUGUUGCUUUCUGGCAUACUAGUAUUCCUCCUACUUAUUCUUUUCUGACUUGGAGAAUUUUACAUAGUUAUGUUCCUGUGGACUCAAUGCUUAUCAAGAAAGGUCUCUAUAUUGUUUCCAAGUGUCAGUGUUGCUAUCACACUGAAAAUUUACUCCAUGUUUUCUUUUAAGGUCCUAUUGCUAUGAAAGUUUGGAUUCACUUUGACAACUUGUUUAAAGUGUUCUCAACUUUUCAUUUUACUUCUAUCAAUGAGGUGUUAAGUGAAUGGUUUACUAAACUGAAAGGCCAUAUUCGUAAUAGCAUUCCUGUCUUGAUAUGUUGGUAUAUCUGGGUUAGUAGAAAUGCUUCUAAACAUGAGAAUGUCUAUAUGGAUGCGAGCACGAUUAUUUACAAAAUUAAGCAUAAAAUUUUUCAAUUGUAUGUUGCGAAGCUUUUAAAACAUGACUCUUUUAAAGGUUACCAUCAUCUGCAUGAGGAAUUUGGUUUGAAUUUCUCUACUACUAUUGUUGUUUCUAACAACAGGAUUAUUUACUGGACUAAACCUAUGGUGGGGUGCUUCAAACUCAAUACAGACGGUGCUAAAAACAUUACUGAGGCAGGUUGUGGUGGCAUUAUUAGGGAUACUAGGGGUUUUGUCAUUAAAGCAUAUGCGGGUCCCUCUAAUGCUACUAAUGUUAUUCAACCUGAGUUGGAUAACCUUCUAUAUAGGAUUCAUCUUUGUAAUUCUCUUGGGAUUAAUAACCUAUGGGUGGAAGUGGACGCUAUGCUUAUUAUUCAUUACAUUAAAGGUAAAUCUUCUGCUAAUUUAGAUAACUUCUAUAGUCUUAGAGAUAUUAAACAUCUCCUGUCUCUUACGUCCUUUAAAAUUUCUCAUAUUUUAACAGAAGGGAAUGCGGUGGCCGAUUUUCUUACAAAAAGGGGUUGUAAAUUAGAUAACUUUGUGGAGUUUGAGGAACAUAACCUUCCUAAAGAAGUUAAAGGGCUUGCUAGAUUAGAUCGUUUGGGUUUUCCUUAUAUCCGGUUACUUUAGUGUUAUUCUUGAUUUUGCUGUUUACCCUUUCUGAUUUUGCUGUGAUGGAUGUGGUUUUUUGUUUUCCUGGAGUUUUAUGUUUCUUGUUAUUCAAUACGGAGCUAUGUUUUGGAUUGGUGUUGCUUCAUUCCUCUCAGAUUGGGUUGUUCCUACUGUAUUUUGUUUCAGGAUUGGUCUAAUUUUUAUUAAGCUUUUUGUGGUUGGGACUCUUUUGGAUGAUGAUUUGGUGUUUUGUAUUAGUUUGGGUGUUGAUUACCGGCUCUGGAGGAAUAUGUUUUUGUUUUGCUAUUCUUUUAGAGUUAUUCUAUGGUUUUUCUAUAUGGUUGUUGGCUGUGUAAUUACUGGGAUCAAUGGUAUGGAAGUUCGUUAUUGCUGGCAUGGGAGGACCAGAUUUUUUGGUGUUUCCUAUCUUGUUUCGCUGUGUGUGGAAUUUGAGUUCAAUUCUAUUCAACAUUUGGUUUAUAUGAUCCAGUAUACUUAUUCUUUGAAAGGUGGUGAUUCUAUGUUUUAUUUGUGGCUUGUUUCUGGUUCCUUCAUAUUUUGUGCCAUGAGAUAUCUAUUUCAACUCCUGCCUAUUGCUCACCGUUUUGGGUACUCUUCUGGUAUUUUUGCUCUGGGCAAGUCCCGGUUGCAGUGACUGCAUUGGUACAAUGUCUCCUUAAUCAAUCUCAUUGAGGUUAUGACUGUUAGCUUCAGGAAUGUUUUUCAUCAGGUAUAUCCUUUACCUCAAUUCGGGUCCUCUUUUAGCAGUUCUGCUCUGGGCACUUCUCGGUUGCAGUCAUUGCAUUGCUGCACUGGUUCCUUACUUAACCUCAUUCAAGUUAUUGCAGUUAUCUUCAGGGAAGUUUUUCUUCAGUUAUAUCUUUUACCUCAUAUUUUUUGCAAGUUUAUGCAUCUCUUUUCACAUUAUACCUGUUACAAAAUUUAUUUUUACUGGAGGUUCCUUUUUGUGCAGAUUUGCUGCCAAAACUUGUGGUGUUACAUUGGUUGCAUAGAGAGUUUCUCCACCAUUUUUUGGACAUUUUGGAAGUUUAAAUCUUGUCAGGACUAUGGAGAUGAUCUUGGUGAUUUAUUGUAGUGAUCAUUGGCAGCAAUACCUAGCGGUGGUCAUAGAUUGUGAUAACUGCUGGUGAUCGUCGACGACGAUAGUUGGUAAUGGUCAGCAGUGGUGAUAGCUAAAUGCAAGAAAACUCUCCAGCCCUCUCUACUCUUCCUCGCCCCCUUCAUGCAGAUAAAAAAAGCUCUAUUUAUCGGCUUUUGAGGAUUGACAUUUUGAUAAUUUGAACCAAAAUCCAAAAUACUCCAUCAUUCGGUCCAUAUUGAUUCUCUUAAUCAUUAAGUGUUUAUUUAGCAUUUAAGUGCCUUAAUGAUAUUUAACUCAAGUGAAUCUUGGGAUCGUUAGAUUUGUCUCGACGAGCCUCUCAACUCAGCUAUAAGUAUGUCAAAUUUGGAUAUCAUUUAGUCAUUCAAUAUGCUUCAAGUAUUUGAUUUGAUAUCA